UACAGAGGGCGCGAGCGUUAAUCGGAUUAACUGGGCGUAAAGGGCGCGUAGGCGGUUAUAUGAGUGUGAUGUGAAAGCCCUGGGCUUAACCUAGGAAGUGCAUCGCAAACGAUAUGACUGGAGUAUUGGAGAGGGUAGCGGAAUUUCCGGUGUAGCGGUGAAAUGCGUAGAGAUCGGAAGGAACGUCAAUGGCGAAGGCAGCUACCUGGCCAAAUACUGACGCUGAGGCGCGAAAGCGUGGGGAGCAAACAGGAUUAGAUACCCUGGUAGUCCACGCUGUAAACGAUGAGAACUAGAUGUUGGAUGGGGAACCAUUUGGUGUCGAAGCUAACGCGAUAAGUUCUCCGCCUGGGAAGUACGGCCGCAAGGUUGAA
rnacentral:rRNA from 1 species